rnacentral:lncRNA from 1 species
GGAAGAACAGCUCAGGCUUUGAAAGCAAUAUCCAAAUAAGGUACCAAGCAGUAGGCUUAGAUUUAGACCAAAUGAUACCUCACAGAUCUGUCACCAGAUCCAGCCCUGGGCUUGGGAAUCCUCAGGUUGACUUCAGCUCUUUCUCUGGACCUACUUAUGGUGUGCUUUAAAAGUUAUUUUAAAAGAUGAAUACAAACCACAAUCAUGGGGUUUAAAGGAAAGAGGUUUCAAGCAUGAAUAUGUAAGAUGGGGCUUGAAUUUUAAAUGAAGUCAGCAAGAUGAAAUACAAUGAAUUAUUUCUGUGGAAUACCAGGUAAGCAGAUUGCCAGGGAUGAACACUACCAAGGAGGCAGAAAUCCAGAAAAGUAGGGUGAGAAGAAGGUUCCACGGCCACUGUUUUGCUAGCAGGUGGAAGAACUGAAAAUGGAGUUUGGGUUUGAAAACAAUAGAAAUGCUUCGAAAUGUUCACGCGUGGAUGAUGAUGAGAGCAAUGGAGUCACUGAAGAGAGAAAGAGACACUGAGAGAGUUCAGGUGCUGGGGGAAGCUGAAGAGAUUUCAUAAGGGAAAAAAAGGUUAAACUAGGGAGCUUACGCAGUGGCUCAGUGGGUAAGACCUGUUCUUGCAGAGAACUUGGGUUUCAUUCCCAGACUUUGGAGGGCCUCUCUCUGAAGGCAUCAGGCUCAUUCAUAUAUGCAGACCAUAUCUGGGGCUCAUUCAUAUAUGCAGACAAUAUAUACACAUAAAGUAAUAUAUAAUCAUAUAUAUCAGAUAUAUUAGAUAUAUCAUAUAUAUAUAAAGUAAUCAUAUCUAUCCAUCUUUAUCUACCUAUCUAUUUAUCUACCUACCUAUCUAUCCAUCUAUCUAUCUACCUAUCUAUGAAAUGUUGAACUUGAGGUUAAAGUAUUUUAUCCAGUGGGAAAUUCUGCAGGGCAGUUAGAUAAGUAUGCCCGGUAAUCUUGAGAGAGGAUCAAAUUGCACAAGAAAUUCAUUAAGGUAGAGGUGAACCCUAAUGGAUGAUUUAACCUUCCCAAAUGACACUGCUCCUUGAAGUCUCUCAAAGGCAGAAGCAAGAAAAAUACAAGAGUCAUUCAAGGUGACUGAAGACAGAGAAGAAAGGACCAAAAGGGUUGGGGGAAAAUGAGGUCAGUCUAAUGUCAGGUGUGGGGGCAGGGGUGGGGGCGAGGAGAGGUAAAAGUAGAAAUCACGCAUCCAUUUCAAGAAAGGAAAUGCCAUCCGCGGUAUCAAAUGAUGCUGUGAGGUUCGAGGUUCAGGAGAAAGCAGUACACUGCCCGAGAUAACUGGAGAGCCGACGGAAGAAAAGCAAAAUGUUCAAGGGAGAUUUGUUUGGCAAAGCUGAGCAAGAAAU